UACGUAGGGUGCGAGCGUUUGUCCGGAAUUAUUGGGCGUAAAGGGCUCGUAGGCGGUUUGUCGCGUCGGGAGUGAAAAUCCAGGGCUUAACUCUGGACUGGCUUCCGAUACGGGCAGACUAGAGGUAUGCAGGGGAGAACGGAAUUCCUGGUGUAGCGGUGAAAUGCGCAGAUAUCAGGAGGAACACCGGUGGCGAAGGCGGUUCUCUGGGCAUGUCCUGACGCUGAGGAGCGAAAGUGUGGGGAGCGAACAGG
rnacentral:rRNA from 1 species